rnacentral:rRNA from 1 species
GACGAACGCUGGCGGCGUGCUUAACACAUGCAAGUCGAACGGAAAGGCCCUGCUUUUGUGGGGUGCUCGGGUGGCGAACGGGUGAGUAACACGUGAGUAACCUGCCCUUGACUUUGGGAUAACUUCAGGAAACUGGGGCUAAUACCGGAUAGGAGCUCCUGCUGCAUGGUGGGGGUUGGAAAGUUUCGGCGGUUGGGGAUGGACUCGCGGCGUAUCAGCUUGUUGGUGGGGUAGUGGCUUACCAAGGCUUUGACGGGUAGCCGGCCUGGGAGGGUGACCGGCCACAUUGGGCCUGAGAGACGGCCCAGACUCCUACGGGAGGCAGCAGUGGGGAAUAUUGCAGAAUGGGCGGAAGCCUGAUGCAGCAACGCCGCGUGCGGGAUGACGGCCUUCGGGUUGUAAACCGCUUUCGCCUGUGACGAAGCGUGAGUGACGGUAAUGGGUAAAGAAGCACCGGCUAACUACGU